rnacentral:rRNA from 1 species
CUCAGGACGAACGCUGGCGGCGUGCCUAAUACAUGCAAGUCGAGCGGACAGAAGGGAGCUUGCUCCCGGAUGUUAGCGGCGGACGGGUGAGUAACACGUGGGUAACCUGCCUGUAAGACUGGGAUAACUCCGGGAAACCGGAGCUAAUACCGGAUAGUUCCUUGAACCGCAUGGUUCAAGGAUGAAAGACGGUUUCGGCUGUCACUUACAGAUGGACCCGCGGCGCAUUAGCUAGUUGGUGGGGUAAUGGCUCACCAAGGCGACGAUGCGUAGCCGACCUGAGAGGGUGAUCGGCCACACUGGGACUGAGACACGGCCCAGACUCCUACGGGAGGCAGCAGUAGGGAAUCUUCCGCAAUGGACGAAAGUCUGACGGAGCAACGCCGCGUGAGUGAUGAAGGUUUUCGGAUCGUAAAGCUCUGUUGUUAGGGAAGAACAAGUGCGAGAGUAACUGCUCGCACCUGAC